AACGAACGCUGGCGGCAUGCCUAACACAUGCAAGUCGAACGGGAUCCGGACUUCGGUCCGGUGAGAGUAGCGGACGGGUGAGUAACACGUGGGAACCUGCCUUUUGGUUCGGGAUAACCGCGGGAAACUGCGGCUAAUACCGGAUGCUCCCGAGAGGGAAAAGAUUUAUCGUCCAGAAGAGGGGCCCGCGUCCGAUUAGGUAGUUGGUGGGGUAAUGGCCUACCAAGCCGACGAUCGGUAGCUGGUCUGAGAGGAUGAUCAGCCACACUGGGACUGAGAUACGGCCCAGACUCCUACGGGAGGCAGCAGUGGGGAAUAUUGGACAAUGGGGGGCAACCCUGAUCCAGCAAUGCCGCGUGAGUGAUGAAGGCCUUAGGGUUGUAAAGCUCUUUUGCCAGGGAAGAUGAUGACUGUACCUGGAGAAUAAGCCCCGGCUAACUUCGUGCCAGCAGCCGCGGUAAU
rnacentral:rRNA from 1 species